GAUGAACGCUGGCGGCGUGCCUAAUACAUGCAAGUCGAGCGAACGGACGAGAAGCUUGCUUCUUUGAUGUUAGCGGCGGACGGGUGAGUAACACGUGGAUAACCUACCUAUAAGACUGGGAUAACUUCGGGAAACCGGAGCUAAUACCGGAUGAUAUUUUGAACCGCAUGGUUCAAAAGUGAAAGACGGUGUUGCUGGCACGUAUAGAUGGAUACGCGCUGCAUUAGCUAGUUGGUAAGGUAACGGCUUACCAAGGCAACGAUGCAUAGCCGACCUGUGAGGCUGAUCGGCCACACGAGAACUUGGCCACGCUCCAUACUCCUGCGGUAGGCAGCAGUAGGGAAUCUUCCGCAAUGGGCGAAAGCCUUACGGAGCGACGCCGCGUGAGUGAUGGAGGUCUCCGGAUCGUAAUACUCUGUUAUGAGGGAAGAACAUAUGUGGAAUUAACUGUGCACAUCGUGACGGUACCUAAUCAGAAAGCCACGGCUAACUACGUG
rnacentral:rRNA from 1 species